rnacentral:lncRNA from 1 species
CACCCCUCAAGAUCACACUUGAGUAUUCCAUUAUAAUCUUUAAGAUUACAACCUUUAGAUUUUGCAAGUUCACCUAACUACUCAGUGUUUUCCAAGGCUAACACUAAAUCUCUUCCUUUAGUAAAAUAAUCACCCACUAAGUCUCCUAAACCUUGAGUAUUAAAUGGUUACUCAACAAUCAAUUUCUUAUGUUUUUAAUACAUAGCUCACACAUCAACCUUUUAAAGUUUAGAUGAAUAAAGAUAUUCAACUUAAUACACUUUAUAAAGAAGAAAAUCAAGUGUAGAAAGUUGAGAAAUAAAUUU